CCUACGGGAGGCAGCAGUGAGGAAUAUUGGUCAAUGGGCGAGAGCCUGAACCAGCCAAGUCGCGUGAGGGAGUACUGCCCUAUGGGUUGUAAACCUCUUUUGUCGGGGAGCAAAAGCCGGACGUUUCCGGCUGUGAGAGUACCCGAAGAAAAAGCAUCGGCUAACUCCGUGCCAGCAGCCGCGGUAAUACGGAGGAUGCGAGCGUUAUCCGGAUUUAUUGGGUUUAAAGGGUGCGCAGGCGGAUUUUUAAGUCAGCGGUAAAAUCGUGGGGCUCAACCCCAUCCAGCCGUUGAAACUGGGGAUCUAGAGUGUGCGAGAGGUAUGCGGAAUGCGUGGUGUAGCGGUGAAAUGCAUAGAUAUCACGCAGAACCCCGAUUGCGAAGGCAGCAUACCGGUGCACAACUGACGCUCAGGCACGAAAGCGUGGGUAUCGAACAGGAUUAGAUACCCUUGUAGUC
rnacentral:rRNA from 1 species